rnacentral:rRNA from 1 species
AUGGCCUCGUGCUCGCCGUCACAGCUCGUCGCCCUGGGGACGGAGAGGGGCAAGAUCCGUGGAGCUGCGCAUGGGGUCAGCAUAUCGUCCUCCUGCUCCUCAAUUCUGGUCGGGUAUCGUUUGGUCCGUGCGGCAGAGAUGGUGAAUUCCUCCUUGGGUGCCCCAGGGUGGUGCGGCCUUAUAUUUCAAGAAAUAAAAUCUUAUGGUUACAUGCUAUCAGUUAAGAUUAAACAUAACAUACGAUAUACACCGGUUGAAUGGGUAUUAUACAUGUCAGGAAUUACCAACAGUACUUCUUCUUCUUCUCUCAAAGCUGUCAAGAAAAUACAGCCAAAUAGAAAGUUAGAAGGAUUUUGA